rnacentral:rRNA from 1 species
CGAACGCUGGCGGCGUGCCUAAUACAUGCAAGUUGAGCGCUGAAGGUUGGUACUUGUACCAACUGGAUGAGCAGCGAACGGGUGAGUAACGCGUGGGGAAUCUGCCUUUGAGCGGGGGACAACAUUUGGAAACGAAUGCUAAUACCGCAUAAAAACUUUAAACACAAGUUUUAAGUUUGAAAGAUGCAAUUGCAUCACUCAAAGAUGAUCCCGCGUUGUAUUAGCUAGUUGGUGAGGUAAAGGCUCACCAAGGCGAUGAUACAUAGCCGACCUGAGAGGGUGAUCGGCCACAUUGGGACUGAGACACGGCCCAAACUCCUACGGGAGGCAGCAGUAGGGAAUCUUCGGCAAUGGACGAAAGUCUGACCGAGCAACGCCGCGUGAGUGAAGAAGGUUGUCGGAUCGUAAAACUCUGUUGGUAGAGAAGAACGUUGGUGAGAGUGGAAAGCUCAUCAAGUGACGGUAACUACCCAGAAAGGGACGGCUAACUACGUG